GUAGGUGAACCUGCGGAGGGAUCAUUAACAUAUCAAAUGAGUUGCGGAAGCGAGGCAGAAGACAGAAGCACAGCAGCGCAUGCGUUGUUGCUGCAUCUGUUUUCUCUCUCUCUUCCUCAAUGAAUUCACACCUGCGAACUUAUCCCCCACCACCACACACUCCGAAGCAUAGCCUUGUGUUUUGUUUCGACCCUUCUUUCACCCCUUUCUUUUUUCUUUUCUCACACUGCGCGUACGAAGCUACACUCUUCUGAGUUGUCUCUUCUGCUCUCAUGUAUACUAAUCUAUAUAUCACUCCUAGCAAUGGAUAUCUUGGUUCUC
rnacentral:misc_RNA from 1 species